GAUGAACGCUGGCGGCGUGCCUAAUACAUGCAAGUCGAGCGAACGGACGAGAAGCUUGCUUCUCUGAUGUUAGCGGCGGACGGGUGAGUAACACGUGGAUAACCUACCUAUAAGGCUGGGAUAACUUCGGGAAACCGGAGCUAAUACCGGAUAAUAUUUUGAACCGCAUGGUUCAAAAGUGAAAGACGGUCUUGCUGUCACUUAUAGAUGGAUCCGCGCUGCAUUAGCUAGUUGGUAAGGUAACGGCUUACCAAGGCAACGAUGCAUAGCCGACCUUAGAGGGUGAUCGGCCACAAUGGAACUGAGACACGGUCCAGACUCCUACGGGAGGCAGCAGUAGGGAAUCUUCCGCAAUGGGCGAAAGCCUGACGGAGCAACGCCGCGUGAGUGAUGAAGGUCUUCGGAUCUUAAAACUCUGUUAUUAGGGAAGAACAUAUGUGUAAGUAACUGUGCACAUCUUGACGGUACCUAAUCAGAAAGCCACGGCUAACUACGUG
rnacentral:rRNA from 1 species